rnacentral:rRNA from 1 species
UGGGGAAUAUUGGACAAUGGGCGAAAGCCUGAUCCAGCAAUGCCGCGUGAGUGAUGAAGGCCUUAGGGUUGUAAAGCUCUUUUACCCGGGAUGAUAAUGACAGUACCGGGAGAAUAAGCCCCGGCUAACUCCGUGCCAGCAGCCGCGGUAAUACGGAGGGGGCUAGCGUUGUUCGGAAUUACUGGGCGUAAAGGGCUCGUAGGCGGCCAACUAAGUCAUACGUGAAAUCCCUCAGCUUAACUGGGGAACUGCGUGUGAUACUGGAUGGCUUGGAUCCGGGAGAGGGAUGCGGAAUUCCAGGUGUAGCGGUGAAAUGCGUAGAUAUCUGGAGGAACACCGGUGGCGAAGGCGGCAUCCUGGACCGGUAUUGACGCUGAGGAGCGAAGGCCAGGGGAGCAAA